ACGACCAAAGGUAGCGGAAAAUACGGGAUCCCGUCCGCUCUCCCAUAGUCAAGCCACUAACCGGCGGAUUAGUAGUUGGGUCGGUGACGACCAGCGAAUCCCCGCUGUUGUAUGUU
rnacentral:rRNA from 1 species